AGGGCCGGCCCCGGGAUGCUACACACAACCCAGCUGUACCAGCAUGUGCCAGAGACACGCUGGCCAAUCGUGUACUCGCCGCGCUACAACAUCACCUUCAUGGGCCUGGAGAAGCUGCAUCCCUUUGAUGCCGGAAAAUGGGGCAAAGUGAUCAAUUUCCUAAAAGAAGAGAAGCUUCUGUCUGACAGCAUGCUGGUGGAGGCGCGGGAGGCCUCGGAGGAGGACCUGCUGGUGGUGCACACGAGGCGCUAUCUUAAUGAGCUCAAGUGGUCCUUUGCUGUUGCUACCAUCACAGAAAUCCCCCCCGUUAUCUUCCUCCCCAACUUCCUUGUGCAGAGGAAGGUGCUGAGGCCCCUUCGGACCCAGACAGGAGGAACCAUAAUGGCGGGGAAGCUGGCCGUGGAGCGAGGCUGGGCCAUCAACGUGGGGGGUGGCUUCCACCACUGCUCCAGCGACCGUGGCGGGGGCUUCUGUGCCUAUGCGGACAUCACGCUCGCCAUCCAGGGCACAGGACAUGCCCCCUCCUCCAGGGAGCCUUCCCUGACCACCUCCUGCAUGCACACGUGGAGCCCCA
rnacentral:sRNA from 1 species